rnacentral:rRNA from 1 species
GACAGAGGUGGCGAGCGUUGUUCGGAAUCAUUGGGCUUAAAGGGCGUGCAGGCGGCGGCGUAAGUGUCGAGUGAAAUACCAGUGCUCAACGCUGGAACGGCUCGGCAAACUGCGUCGCUUGAGGUCGGUAGAGGUGCUUGGAACUCUAGGUGGAGCGGUGAAAUGCGUAGAUAUCUAGAGGAACGCCUGAGGCGAAAGCGGAGCACUGGGCCGAUUCUGACGCUGAGACGCGAAAGCGUGGGGAGCAAACAGG